rnacentral:rRNA from 1 species
GACGAAGGAUGCAAGCGUUAUCCGGAUUCAUUGGGUUUAAAGGGUGCGUAGGCGGCCUUGUAAGUCAGUGGUGAAAUCUCUCAGCUUAACUGAGAAACUGCCAUUGAUACUGCAAGGCUUGAGUACAGAUGAUGUUGGCGGAAUAUGACAUGUAGCGGUGAAAUGCAUAGAUAUGUCAUAGAACACCGAUUGCGAAGGCAGCUGACAAAACUGUAACUGACGCUGAGGCACGAAAGUGUGGGGAUCAAACAGG